AACACUGUCCACUACCCCGGUGCACGUGAGGACGAGCUGGUGCGUGCCUAAAAAGGCGGAGGGCGGGGUGGGUGUGUGCGCGCCUUUGCCAGAAGUCCUGUGCUCUGGAAUCUCAAUCUCCACAGAAUGCCAAGAGUGCUUGCUCCUACAGGGGCCAUCUCGCUAAGUUAACUUCAAGGACUUGGCACAAGACAGAAAAAUAAAACAAAGAAACUCGAAACUCUUCCUCUGCUCCUCCUUUGAACCUCCUGUAAAACUGUAGGUCCCAGGACUAGAGAAUUGCCCACCUUCUUUCUGCAAGCAGCCCUGGACCCAAAGCUUCACCUCUCUGAGCCAGGACGCUGACAAUGACUAACUAGUUUCAGGAAGACUCGACAGGUUCUGAAGUAAACUUUCAAUACUGUGGAUUGGCAGUGAGCGAAGCAGGAGCAUGAGGAUCCACCGUGAUUUCUAUCAGUGUGGAAGAUGCAUGCAUCCUUUCACCUAUGUCUGUUGGUAUCGAACCAGCUAGGAACAUUUUCCAAGAAAAGAGGAACACUUCCGUCCAGGAACUGGACCUCGAGGUUCAAAGCUCCUUCAAAAGCGGAUCUGGCCUUGAGCAGAAACAUAAAGAGGAGAGGAUUCUAACGCAAGUUCCACCUACCCUGCUUGUUGGAAUGGCUGCUCAGAUUUAC